GACGAACGCUGGCGGCGUGCUUAACACAUGCAAGUCGAACGAGAGCGUAGAGAAAGCUUGCUUUUUCUACAAUCUAGUGGCAAACGGGUGAGUAACGCGUAAACAACCUGCCCUACGGAUGGGGACAACAGCUGGAAACGGCUGCUAAUACCGAAUACGUUCCGAAAGUCGCAUGACUAUCGGAAGAAAGGAUGGCCUCUAUUUAUAAGCUAUCGCCGGAGGAGGGGUUUGCGUCUGAUUAGCUAGUUGGAGGGGUAACGGCCCACCAAGGCGACGAUCAGUAGCCGGUCUGAGAGGAUGAACGGCCACAUUGGAACUGAGACACGGUCCAGACUCCUACGGGAGGCAGCAGUGGGGAAUCUUCCGCAAUGGGCGAAAGCCUGACGGAGCAACGCCGCGGGAGUGAAGACGGCCUUCGGGUUGUAAAGCUCUGUUAUACGGGACGAAUAAUCUUGUGGUUAAUACCCAUGAGAAGUGACGGUACCGUAAGAGAAAGCCACGGCUAACUACGUG
rnacentral:rRNA from 1 species